AUUGAACGCUGGUGGCAGGCUUAACACAUGCCAGUCGAGCGGAGAUGAGGUGCUUGCACCUUAUCUUAGCGGCGGACGGGUGAGUAAUGCUUAGGAAUCUGCCAUUUAGUGGGGGACAACAUUCCGAAAGGAAUGCUAAUACCGCAUACGUCCUACGGGAGAAAGCAGGGGAUCUUCGGACCUUGCGCUAAAUGAUGAGCCUAAGUCGGAUUAGCUAGUUGGUGGGGUAAAGGCCUACCAAGGCGACGAUCUGUAGCGGGUCUGAGAGGAUGAUCCGCCACACUGGGACUGAGGCACGGCCCAGACUCCUACGGGAGGCAGCAGUGGGGAAUAUUGGACAAUGGGGGGAACCCUGAUCCAGCCAUGCCGCGUGUGUGAAGAAGGCCUUAUGGUUGUAAAGCACUUUAAGCGAGGAGGAGGCUACUGAGACUAAUACUCUUGGAUAGUGGACGUUACUCGCAGAAUAAGCACCGGCUAACUCUGUG
rnacentral:rRNA from 1 species